GACAGAGGGUGCGAGCGUUGUUCGGAAUUACUGGGCGUAAGGCGCGCGCAGGCGGAUCCUGCAAGUCGGAAGUGAAAUGUGGCUGCUCAACGGCCACGCUGCUUCCGAUACUGCGGAUCUGGGGACCGGUAGAGGCUGGUGGAAUUGCAGGUGUAGCGGUGGAAUGCGUAGAGAUCUGCAAGAACACCCGUGGCGAAGGCGGCCAGCUGGGCCGGAUCCGACGCUGAGGCGCGAAAGCGUGGGGAGCAAACAGG
rnacentral:misc_RNA from 1 species